UAAUGAGACAGCAGCCGCUAGGAAGGAGAUCCAGGAGAGGAAAAAGAAACAAGUUUUAUUCAAGCCCCAAACACUCGGCUAGAAAAACCGAAAAGGAGAGAGAGCAGGAAAGUGGGAGAAGAAAGGGGACAUUAAAAAAGAGAGACAGAGAAAACACAGCAACCCUUUUCCAUUUAGAAAUUGUCAAGUUACACUGACAGAGGUCACAGAAUAUCCACAGAAGCCAUCACUGCUACACCAACACGGGCCCUACGGGGUGGACAGGGUGGGGUGUGGAGCCGGGGCUUGCCCUGGGGGGGGCCCAACCUGGGACCCCCCUCUCAGAGCCUGGGGCCAAAGGCUCCUGGGGAAACAGCAUAUUGUGGAAGGGGUGGGAGAGAAACCCCCCAUGCGAGUAACACAGCACAGUGGGCGGGGGCUAGGGAGACCAGGUACAGAGGUCCCCCCAGACGUCUUGGUUUUCUCUUGGUCAAGCACACACUGAUGGACAGAGCAGCGAGGCGCAUGCAGCUGAGGGGGCCUUGACGUGCUGCAGGUCUGAGAGGGCCGAGGGGCUGGGGGCUCUGGAGGGGAGCCGGAGCGAGUGGUGCAGGGACAAUGGAACACACGCAGCUCACAUGCCUCCACGUACACCCCUCUGUCCACACGCAUACAGGUCUCACAGCUGCACACACAUGUCCUGAGCACCCUCCCACGCCAACCUCUUCCACACCAGUGGGCAGGUGGAUGCGUGCCAAGGCCCAGGCUGGUUACAUGCACUGCAGCGCACACGCCUCCCUGCACACACGUGUGGCACGUCAUGCUGGUGCACACUCAUGCUUCCUUCCCUCCACACACACGAGUAAGUGGACUUGUGCAAUGGACAUGCGCGUGCGCACACACACACACACACACACACACACAGAGGCUGUGCACAACUCCUCGAAGCCCAUAAAUGUGCAGGCACCAAACUGAAAGGAAGAUGCAAAUUCCACUGGGCUCCAGGUGAGCAGGUGGGGUGGGGCCCAGGGCUCCCUCCAAGUGUCCUCUUGCGGAUGGACGUGCCCCUCCCCCUCCCCCCACAAAGGGACAUUCAACUCAGGACAGUGACGAUGGGGCACACGUUCAGGGCACCGGGCUGAGGGUGGGCGGUGGGGGGGGGCAAGGGAAAAGUCGCAAGCAAAGAGUAAUGGAGCGGAGGGAGGAGGGGGCACCACUCCCCCUCCCCUCCCAAGUCAAGGGGUCUCUGUACAGCCAAAUCGAACCAAACCGUUUCACUGGACCACAGAAGCCAGGCUGAUGUGCCCACCCUCCAGCCCCCUCCCCCGCCAAAACAGCGGCCAGGGAGAGAGCGCCGUGGUUUCCUUUUUUUUUUUCUUUUUUAAAUAUUUAUAUAUAUUUAUAUUACGUAUAUUAUAUAUAUAUAAUAUGUAAAUAUAUUUUUAAAACAAUAUAAAAUGUUAAGACACUUCACUUAAAUGUAAAGAGUUGCCUGCAAUUAAAAGUAAUUGCAUCAUUUAUGAGGUCCUUUUUUUUUUUUCUAUUUUUCAGGGUUUUUUUUUUUUCGGAGGGAUUUUUUUUUUCCUCUUUUGUUAUUUUUCAAAAAGGCUUGCUUGCCUUUGUACAAAAAUGAUCCAAAGCUAGAAAACAAGGAUGAACCAACAAAAACAACAACAAAAAAGAAAGAAAUGAAGAAACACAACCCGGCUCCCCCUCCCUCCCCAACCCUCAAUAGCUCCCCCUGGCUCUCAAGCACCAGGCCGCAGGGUCUAGGAGGUUCUGCCCCUUCAAUGGCUCCUUCUUUCUGUGCUUCCUCGGUGAGGGGAGGGGGGGGUGACUAAUCCCAACCCCCGUCUCCUGUGCUUAUCCCACUUUGUGCUCCAAAUAGGAAUCCUGCUCCCUGGGGACCUCACUCCACCCUCCUCCUCCCCCACACACAUCAUCUCCCUGCUGGCUGCUCGCUGUGCCCUGGGGG
rnacentral:lncRNA from 1 species